AAACCCUCAGCUAUAAUUUUAUUAUUACGGCUGGUUAUGGGUUGUGGAGGACUAGCCUUUACGGCUGCUCCCGCCUUAAACUUGCUGCACGACCGCAAGCUUAUGCUAGGUUAAUGAAGUGGUGUUUACAUAUAUUUCAGCGACCGUUCAUAGCUUGGUGGCGUUAAACUUGAUGUUGCCUCCUGGCGACUGAU
rnacentral:misc_RNA from 1 species